rnacentral:tRNA from 1 species
UGUAGCUCAGUGGUAGAACACUUGUCUACUACCAUGCAUGAGGCCCUGGGUUCAACUCCCAGCA